rnacentral:tRNA from 1 species
GGAGAGGUGCUGGAGUGGUUGAACAGGGCUGCCUGCUAAGCAGUUGUGCUGGGUAACCGGCACCGGGGGUUCGAAUCCCCCCCUCUCCGCCA